AGAAUCAACGCUGGCGGCGUGCCUCAGACAUGCAAGUCGAACGCGAAAGUCCCCUUCGGGGGACAAGUAGAGUGGCGCACGGGUGAGUAACACGUAGGUAAUCUACCUUUGGAUGGGGAAUAACAAUCGGAAACGGUUGCUAAUACCGCAUAAUGCAGCGGCACCUAAUGGUGACAGUUGUUAAAGCGGGGGAUCGAAAGACCUCGCGUCUGAAGAGGAGCCUGCGGCGGAUUAGCUAGUUGGUAAGGUAAUGGCUUACCAAGGCUACGAUCCGUAACC
rnacentral:rRNA from 1 species